rnacentral:lncRNA from 1 species
GGAGGCUGAGUCUUGCUCUGUUGCCCAUGCUUUGCUGGAUCUCGGGUGACUGCAACCACUGCCUCCCAGGUUCAAGAGAUUCUCCUGCCUCAGCCUCCUGAGUAGCUGGGACUAGAGGCGUGUGUCACCACACCCAGCUAAGUUUUGUAUUUUUAGUAGAGAUGGGGUUUCACCAUGUUUGCCAGGAUGGUCUCUAUCUCCUGACCUUGUGAUCCACCCACCUCAGCCUCCCAAAGUGCUGGGAUUGCAGGUGGGAGCCACCGGGUCCAGCCUCUCCGGCGAUUUUCAUACCUGCAUACUCUGAUCACUACUCUGUUAAACAGUCAAGGAGGCUGAGUGCCACGUGCUGACGUCACUAAGAUCAAUACAGCAAACUCUGAAAGAUGGACAGAGAGACAGGAGAUGGUCCUUUAUAAUGCAGUGUGAUCUGUGCUGCAAUAGAGAUGGAAGAGUGUUCUGAUCAGCUGGAAAACAACGCACAUGGGAAGCUGUACAGAAAUGAGUGGGGAAAGUUUUGGAAGCUAGAAGUUCAAAACGAGGUGUUGGCAGCACCAUGCUCUCUCUGAAGAUGCUAGGAAGAAUCUGCUCCAUGCCUUUCCAUUCGCUCCUGGGGUUUCCUGCAAGCCCUGACAUUCCUUGGCUUGUAGAUACACCACCCCAGUUUCCGCCCCCAUCAUCACAUGGCCUCCUCUCUGUGGGUGCCUCUGCGUUCCCUCUAUUCUUCUUCUAAGGACACCGACACCAGUCAUAGUGGAUUAAGGGUCCACUCCUAACUAAUUACAUCUGCAACCACCCUAUUUCCAAAUAAAGUCACAUUCUAAGA